rnacentral:lncRNA from 1 species
AUACUGUAUUUUUCCUCUUUAGCGGUGGCUGAGCGUAGAGGCUUCUUCCUCGCUCCCUCCUCCUCCUGCUCUGAAACACAAACGGAAACUGUAACUCAUCUACUUCCUACUAAGAGAGUCACAGAAAAUACAGAGAGCGAGAGAAACAGCGACAAGGCCCCAAAGCAAGCAACUGCCAUCAAUGCAAGCGGCUGCUCCUUCCCUGCAAGGGCAAUGUCUGCUGUGUGGCUACACGUUGGACAAUGUGGCAAUCAGAUUGGCGAGGCGUGGUGGCAGAUCCUAACCAGGGAGAAUGUGCCGCAUGCAGAGGCUGAUUGGUAUGGUAACUCUGCAGUUCUAAGGAGGGAACCAGUUUUAAGCUACUCAUGAGCCUACGCCUGCUAGUACUUGGAGUCAAAUGGGUUAAGUGAUCCAUCCCUGCUCUUAACAGAGGGCAAUCGUAGGAGUUCUUCUGCAGUCUCUGUGCAGCUGGCAGUCCUAUCACAAGGCCUCAUGCGGCCUUGCGGAGUGCUCCUAGCUUUAUAUUUCUGAUAACAAUAAGAUCAUUGUUCCAGUUCACUUUCCACAGACCAUUUUAAACACAAGCACGCUGCAAGAUGGGGCAGAGGGAUUAAUGCUGUUGAUCAAAACCUUCCCUUGCUGGCCUCCGAUCAAAGGCAGGCAUUCCCUCUGCCAGCAUGUUUGAGCCAAGGGAAGGGUAUGUAAAACUCUGGGUUUAGAGUCUAAAAUUCCAAUAUAGAUAUGAACAAACGUAACUGUUUCUACCCUUGAAACUGCCCUGAGAAUACCCCUGGAACUGCACUGAGCACUCCUGGGGGAAUUCUGCGCCACUGCACAUGUGCAGAAUUUAUGUCUCCCGCAGAUUUCUUUGCUUCCCUGCAGAAAAAUGACUUUCUCAUGGGGAAGCAAAGGGGAGCCACAAGAGCAGUC